rnacentral:lncRNA from 1 species
UAAAGGUUUGUUAAGCACCCGUAAGCUUAACAAGUUAGUAGAAAAUCUCGAGAGAGUCUCUCGGGGACUGGACUAACCACUGUUGUGGCCAACCAGGAUGGAUAUAUCCUUGUGUAGGUUAUUUUUACUGCACUUAUUUACUUCCUGUAAAAUUUAAAUUCCGCAAGAAAACGCUAAAUUUCAUUAAAACGCUAUUCACCCCCCCU